GACAGAGGGUGCAAACGUUGUUCGGAAUUACUGGGCGUAAAGCGUGUGUAGGCGGCCAGAUAAGUCGGGUGUGAAAGCCCUGGGCUCAACCCAGGAAGUGCACUCGAUACUGCUUGGCUUGAGUACUGGAGAGGUUGGUGGAAUUCUCGGUGUAGAGGUGAAAUGCGUAGAGAUCGAGAGGAACACCGGUGGCGAAGGCGGCCAACUGGACAGAUACUGACGCUGAGACACGAAAGCGUGGGGAGCAAACAGG
rnacentral:rRNA from 1 species